UCAAACUUGGUCAUUUAGAGGAAGUAAAAGUCGUAACAAGGUCUCCGUAGGUGAACCUGCGGAGGGAUCAUUGCAGCGAGCGUCCGAGCCCCUGGGGGCCGACCUCCCACCCGUGUGAUCACUGCGAUCGUUGCCUCGGCGGGCGCCGCGCGCCCGCCGGGGGCUCCGCCGACUCUGGAUGUCCGCGUCGUCUGAGCGUCACGCAAUCGUGAAAACUUUCAACAACGGAUCUCUUGGUUCCGGCAUCGAUGAAGAACGCAGC
rnacentral:misc_RNA from 1 species